GUCCCCGUAGCUCAACGGACAGAGCGACGGUUUUCUAAACCGCAGGUUGCAGGUUCGAUUCCUGCCGGGGGCA
rnacentral:tRNA from 1 species